rnacentral:rRNA from 1 species
UACGUAGGGUGCGAGCGUUAUUCGGAAUUACUGGGCGUAAAGCGUGCGCAGGCGGUUUGUUAAGUUCGUUGUGAAAGCCCCGGGCUCAACCUGGGAACUGCAAUGGAAACUGGCGGGCUUGAGUGUGGCAGAGGGGGGUGGAAUUCCGCGUGUAGCAGUGAAAUGCGUAGAGAUGCGGAGGAACACCGAUGGCGAAGGCGGCUCACUGGCCCGGUACUGACGCUGAGGUGCGAAAGCGUGGGGAGCGAACAGG